UUUGACUGGGGCGGUCGCCUCCCAAAAGGUAACGGAGGCGUGCAAAGGUUUUCUCAGACUGGUCGGAAAUCAAUUGUAGAGUGAAAGGUAUAAGAAAGCUUGAUUGUGAGACCUACAAGUCGAACAGGGACGAAAGUCGGCCUUAGUGAUCCGACGGUUCCGAGUGGAAGGGCCGUCGCUCAACGGAUAAAAGUUACUCUAGGGAUAACAGGCUGAAAUCG
rnacentral:rRNA from 1 species